AUGACUGAAGAAUGCUGCAGAAACUCCGAUUUCAAGGGCUACUGGCAAGACAGGGGGACUUUUCUGUGGCCUGGCAACAUUAGCACCAUCGGGGAGGAGCCAGGGCAGUGUGCCAAAACAACACCCCCAUCUGUCUAUCCACUGGCCCCUGCAUGUAGUGAUACAACUGGAUCCUCGGUGACUCUGGGAUGCCUGGUCAAGGGCUAUUUCCCUGAGCCAGUGACCGUCACCUGGAACUCUGGAUCACUGUCCAGCGGUGUGCACACCUUCCCAGCUGUCAUGCAGUCUGGACUCUACUCCCUCAGCAGCUCAGUGACUGUACCCUCCAGCACCUGGCCCAGCCAGACCAUCACCUGCAACGUAGCCCACCCGGCCAGCAGCACCAAGGUGGACAAGAUCAUUGCUCCUGAACUCCCUGGUGGACCAUCCAUCUAUAUCUUCCCCCCAAAGGCCAAGGAUAUACUCUUGAUCUCCCAAAAUGCCAAGGUCACAUGUGUGGUGGUGGACGUGAGCCAGGAAGACCCAGAUGUCCAGUUCAGAUGGUUUGUGGACAACAAAGAAGUGCACACAGCUCAGACGCAGCCCAGUGAGCAACCGUACAACAGUACCUUGCGGGUGGUCAGUGCCCUCCCCAUAGAGCACCAGGACUGGAUGAAGGGCAAGGAGUUCAAAUGCAAGGUCACCAACAAAGCCCUCCCAGAGCCCAUCGAGAGAACCAUCUCAAAACCCAGAGGAGCAGUCAGAGCACCACAGGUACACGUCUUGCCUCCACCGGCAGAGCAGAUGGCCAAGAAAGACGUCAGUUUGACCUGCAUGAUCACAGGCUUCCUCCCUGAGGACAUUGAUGUGGAGUGGACCAGCAACGGGCGCAUAGAACAGAACUACAAGAACACCCCACCUGUCCUGGAUUCUGACGGUUCUUACUUCCUAUACAGCAAGCUCAAUGUGCCAAAGAGCAGAUGGGAACAAGGAGAUAUUUUCCUCUGCUCAGUGGUACACUUGGGUCUGCACAAUCACCACAUAACGAAGAACAUCUCCCGUACUCUGGGGCUGGAACUGGAUGAUUCCUGUGCUGAGGCCCAGGACGGGGAGCUGGACGGGCUCUGGACGACCAUCACCAUCUUCAUCAGCCUCUUCCUGCUCAGCGUGUGCUACAGCGCCUCUGUCACACUCUUCAAGGUAAAGUGGAUCUUCUCCUCGGUGGUGGAGCUGAAGCAGAAAAUCUCCCCUGACUACAGAAACAUGAUUGGGCAGGGGGCCUAG